CUUCAGCCUCCCAAAGUGCUGGGAUUAUAGGCGUGAGCCACUGUGCCCGGUCUUUUUCUUUAAUGUAGUAUUCACUGGGUUUUUUAAAUUAGUGUCAUAAGUCAGUUAUCCAAGUAGUUUUUCUCCUUUAUUUCAACAUUGACUUCUGACUUUUCCGAAUAUAGGAAUUCCUUCUGUCCUGUUAAGCAGUCCUUCGCUUUCUGCUUUUGGAUACUUAAGUGACCACCUCACUUUUUUGUGAUGCAGCUUGUUCAAUUUUUGGAUAGUUCUCGUGGACACAUGGAAAUGCUGAGUAGAACUAUGAUACAAAUCAGCUCACCAUAAAGUACAAUCUCCAGUGGCCAGAGAGAACUAAAAGGAAACUAAAAACCCGCAUGACACAGUUAACUUUGGGGCUUAAGAUGAGAUAAGGAGUGAUGGCGCUUGCCAGUAAUCCCAGCUAUUCCAGAGGUCGAGCUGGAAGGAUCCCUUGAGCCGAGUGCGAGGCUGCAUUGAACUAUUACCACACCACUGCACUCCAGCCUGGGCAACAGAGUGAGACCUCAUCUCUGGACAAGUGUUAUUUGUGACAGCACAAUGUUUGAUACAACCCAAAUGUUGAAUGAAAGUGGACCAGCUAAAUAAACCAUGAACAUUUACUCAA
rnacentral:lncRNA from 1 species